UAGUCGCCGCGGGAAUACGUAGGUGGCAAGCGUUGUCCGGAAUUAUUGGGCGUAAAGGGCUCGCAGGCGGUUUCUUAAGUCUGAUGUGAAAGCCCCCGGCUCAACCGGGGAGGGUCAUUGGAAACUGGGAAACUUGAGUGCAGAAGAGGAGAGUGGAAUUCCACGUGUAGCGGUGAAAUGCGUAGAGAUGUGGAGGAACACCAGUGGCGAAGGCGACUCUCUGGUCUGUAACUGACGCUGAGGAGCGAAAGCGUGGGGAGCGAACAGGAUUAGAUACCCGCGUAGUCCCUGUCUCUUAUAA
rnacentral:rRNA from 1 species